rnacentral:misc_RNA from 1 species
GUGAAUCAUCAAAUCUUUGAACGCAAAUUGCGCUUCCUAGCAUCCCGGGAAGUAUGCCUGUUUGAGGGUCAGUAUUAACAAAAAAAUCGGUUUGGUUGCAAAUUGUGACGUUUCCGGAGGUUGAGCUCUCUUAACUUUUGUGGUUAAGGGGCUUAAAAUUGACCUUUUUUGCGCGUUUUUCGACGUACAUAAAUUUUUUUUUUUUUUCGACUAUUCUGAAUGCCAAAAUCUUAUUAGCUCC